rnacentral:rRNA from 1 species
GCAGUGGGGAAUCUUGCACAAUGGGCGAAAGCCUGAUGCAGCCAUGCCGCGUGAAUGAUGAAGGCCCUAGGGUUGUAAAAUUCUUUCAUCAGGGACGAUAAUGACGGUACCUGAAGAAGAAGCCCCGGCUAACUUCGUGCCAGCAGCCGCGGUAAUACGAAGGGGGCUAGCGUUGUUCGGAAUUACUGGGCGUAAAGCGCGCGUAGGCGGACUGGUAAGUCAGAUGUGAAAUCCCGGGGCUCAACCUCGGAACUGCAUUUGAAACUGUUAGUCUAGAGGCCAGGAGAGGUUAGUGGAAUGCCGAGUGUAGAGGUGAAAUUCGUAGAUAUUCGGUGGAACACCAGUGGCGAAGGCGACUGACUGGACUGGUACUGACGCUGAGGCGCGAAAGUGUGGGGAGCAAACAGGAUUAGAUACCCUGGUAGUCCACACCGUAAACGUUGAGUGCUAGUUGUCGGCAGGCAUGCCUGUCGGUGACGCAGCUAACGCAUUAAGCACUCCGCCUGGGGAGUACGGCCGCAAGGUUAAAACUCAAAGAAAUUGACGGGGGCCCGCACAAGCGAUGGAGCAUGUGGUUUAAUUCGAAGCAACGCGCAGAACCUUACCUACCCUUGACAUGCCCGGUCUGGUUGCCAGAGAUGGCUUCCUUGAUUCGUUCGCCGGUGCACAGGUGCUGCAUGGCUGUCGUCAGCUCGUGUCGUGAGAUGUUGGGUUAAGUCCCGCAACGAGCGCAACCCUCAUCCUUAGUUGCCAUCAGGUUUGGCUGGGCACUCUAAGGAAACUGCCGGUGGCAAGCCGGAGGAAGGUGGGGAUGACGUCAAGUCCUCAUGGCCCUUACGGGUAGGGCUACACACGUGCUACAAUGGCAGUGACAAUGGGAUAAUCCCAAAAAACUGUCUCAGUUCGGAUUGUCGUCUGCAACUCGACGGCAUGAAGUUGGAAUCGCUAGUAAUCGUGGAUCAGCAUGCCACGGUGAUACGUUCCCGGGCAUUGUACACACCGCCCGUCACAUCAUGGGAGUUGGUUCUACC